rnacentral:rRNA from 1 species
GACGAACGCUGGCGGCGUGCUUAACACAUGCAAGUCGAGCGGUAAGGCCCUUUCGGGGGUACACGAGCGGCGAACGGGUGAGUAACAUGUGGGUGACCUGCCCUCAGCUCUGGGAUAAGCCUGGGAAACCGGGUCUAAUACUGGAUAUGACUCCAUGACGCAUGUUGUGGGGUGGAAAGCCUUGUGCGGCUGAGGAUGGGCCCGCGGCCUAUCAGCUUGUUGGUGGGGUGAUGGCCUACCAAGGCGACGACGGGUAGCCGGCCUGAGAGGGCGACCGGCCACACUGGGACUGAGACACGGCCCAGACUCCUACGGGAGGCAGCAGUGGGGAAUCUUGCGCAAUGGGCGAAAGCCUGACGCAGCGACGCCGCGUGAGGGAUGACGGCCUCGGUGUAAC